rnacentral:rRNA from 1 species
AGAGUUUGAUCCUGGCUCAGGAUGAACGCUGGCGGUAUGCUUAACACAUGCAAGUCGAACGAAAGCUUUAUGCUUUAGUGGCGAACGGGUGCGUAAUACGUGAGAAUCUGCCCUUAGGAGGAGAAUAACUUCUGGAAACGGUUGCUAAGUCUCCAUAUGCCGAGAGGUAAAAUAGUUUACACUGCCUAGGGAUGAGCUCACGCCUGAUUAGCUUGUUGGUAAGGUAAUGGCUUACCAAGGCCACGAUCAGUAGCUGGUUUGAGAGAACGAUCAGCCACACUGGGACUGAGACACGGCCCAGACUCCUCCGGGAGGCAGCAGUGAGGAAUUUUCCGCAAUGGGCGAAAGCCUGACGGAGCAAUACCGCGUGAGGGAUGAAGGAUUUUGGUCUGUAAACCUCUUUUCUCAAGAAAGAAGUUCUGACGGUACUUGAGGAAUAAGCAUCGGCUAACUCCGUGCCAGCAGCCGCGGUAAUACGGGGGAUGCAAGCGUUAUCCGGAAUCAUUGGGCGUAAAGCGCCUGUAGGUUGUUUAAUAAGUCUGUUGUUAAAGACUAGGGCUUAACCCUAGGAAAGCAAUGGAAACUACUAGACUUGAGUAUGAUAGGGGUAGAGGGAAUUUCUAGUGUAGCGGUGAAAUGCGUAGAUAUUAGAAAGAACACCGGUGGCGAAGGCGCUCUACUGGAUCAUUACUGACACUCAGAGGCGAAAGCUAGGGUAGCAAAAGGGAUUAGAUACCCCUGUAGUCCUAGCCGUAAACGAUGGAUACUAGAUGUUGCGCUCCAUGUGC